rnacentral:rRNA from 1 species
CCGGCGCACGGGUGCGUAACGCGUAUGCGAUCUGCCCUGUACAGGGGAAUAGCCCAGGGAAACUUGGAUUAAUGCCCCAUGGUAUCCCGGGACGGCAUCGUCCCGGGAUUAAAGAUUCAUCGGUACAGGAUGAGCAUGCGUCCCAUUAGCUAGUUGGUGCGGUAACGGCGCACCAAGGCCGCGAUGGGUAGGGGCCCUGAGAGGGGGGACCCCCACACUGGUACUGAGACACGGACCAGACUCCUACGGGAGGCAGCAGUGAGGAAUAUUGGACAAUGGGCGGGAGCCUGAUCCAGCCAUGCCGCGUGCAGGAAGACGGCCCUACGGGUUGUAAACUGCUUUUAUGGGGGAAGAAACCCUCCCACGUGUGGGAGGCUGACGGUACCCCACGAAUAAGGACCGGCUAACUCCGUGCCAGCAGCCGCGGUAAUACGGAGGGUCCGAGCGUUAUCCGGAAUCAUUGGGUUUAAAGGGUCCGCAGGCGGGCCGCUAAGUCAGGGGUGAAAUCCCACGGCUCAACCGUGGAACUGCCCUUGAUACUGGCGGCCUUGAGUCGCGGCGAGGUGGUCGGAACAUGUGGUGUAGCGGUGAAAUGCAUAGAUAUCACAUAGAACGCCGAUUGCGAAGGCAGGCCACCAGCCGCGCACUGACGCUGAGGGACGAAAGCGUGGGGAGCGAACAGGAUUAGAUACCCUGGUAGUCCACGCCGUAAACGAUGGAUACUAGCUGCCCGGGCGCAAGCCUGGGUGGCCAAGCGAAAGUGAUAAGUAUCCCACCUGGGGAGUACGCCCGCAAGGGUGAAACUCAAAGGAAUUGACGGGGGCCCGCACAAGCGGUGGAGCAUGUGGUUUAAUUCGAUGAUACGCGAGGAACCUUACCAGGGCUUGAACGCAUUGCGACAGUCCCAGAGAUGGGAUCUCCUUCGGGCGCUUUGCGAGGUGCUGCAUGGUUGUCGUCAGCUCGUGCCGUGAGGUGUCAUGUUAAGUCCUAUAACGAGCGCAACCCCUGCCGCCAGUUGCCAGCAUGUAAUGAUGGGGACUCUGGCGGGACUGCCGGCGCAAGCCGCGAGGAAGGUGGGGAUGACGUCAAAUCAUCACGGCCCUUACGCCCUGGGCCACACACGUGCUACAAUGGCCGGUACAGUGGGAUGCCACCCCGCGAGGGGGAGCGGAUCCACAAAGCCGGUCACAGUUCGGAUCGCAGUCUGCAACUCGACUGCGUGAAGCUGGAAUCGCUAGUAAUCGGAUAUCAGCCAUGAUCCGGUGAAUACGUUCCCGGGCCUUGUACACACCGCCCGUCAAGCCAUGGAAGCUGGGGGUACCUGAAGUCGGUCGCCGCAAGGAGCCGCCUAGGGUAAGACCGGUGACUGGGGCUAAGUCGGAACAAGGUA